rnacentral:rRNA from 1 species
UCAGGACGAACGCUGGCGGCGUGCCUAAUACAUGCAAGUCGAGCGGACAGAUGGGAGCUUGCUCCCUGAUGUUAGCGGCGGACGGGUGAGUAACACGUGGGUAACCUGCCUGUAAGACUGGGAUAACUCCGGGAAACCGGGGCUAAUACCGGAUGGUUGUUUGAACCGCAUGGUUCAAACAUAAAAGGUGGCUUCGGCUACCACUUACAGAUGGACCCGCGGCGCAUUAGCUAGUUGGUGAGGUAACGGCUCACCAAGGCGACGAUGCGUAGCCGACCUGAGAGGGUGAUCGGCCACACUGGGACUGAGACACGGCCCAGACUCCUACGGGAGGCAGCAGUAGGGAAUCUUCCGCAAUGGACGAAAGUCUGACGGAGCAACGCCGCGUGAGUGAUGAAGGUUUUCGGAUCGUAAAGCUCUGUUGUUAGGGAAGAACAAGUACCGUUCGAAUAGGGCGGUACCUUGACGGUACCUAACCAGAAAGCCACGGCUAACUACGUGCCAGCAGCCGCGGUAAUACGUAGGUGGCAAGCGUUGUCCGGAAUUAUUGGGCGUAAAGGGCUCGCAGGCGGUUUCUUAAGUCUGAUGUGAAAGCCCCCGGCUCAACCGGGGAGGGUCAUUGGAAACUGGGGAACUUGAGUGCAGAAGAGGAGAGUGGAAUUCCACGUGUAGCGGUGAAAUGCGUAGAGAUGUGGAGGAACACCAGUGGCGAAGGCGACUCUCUGGUCUGUAACUGACGCUGAGGAGCGAAAGCGUGGGGAGCGAACAGGAUUAGAUACCCUGGUAGUCCACGCCGUAAACGAUGAGUGCUAAGUGUUAGGGGGUUUCCGCCCCUUAGUGCUGCAGCUAACGCAUUAAGCACUCCGCCUGGGGAGUACGGUCGCAAGACUGAAACUCAAAGGAAUUGACGGGGGCCCGCACAAGCGGUGGAGCAUGUGGUUUAAUUCGAAGCAACGCGAAGAACCUUACCAGGUCUUGACAUCCUCUGACAAUCCUAGAGAUAGGACGUCCCCUUCGGGGGCAGAGUGACAGGUGGUGCAUGGUUGUCGUCAGCUCGUGUCGUGAGAUGUUGGGUUAAGUCCCGCAACGAGCGCAACCCUUGAUCUUAGUUGCCAGCAUUCAGUUGGGCACUCUAAGGUGACUGCCGGUGACAAACCGGAGGAAGGUGGGGAUGACGUCAAAUCAUCAUGCCCCUUAUGACCUGGGCUACACACGUGCUACAAUGGACAGAACAAAGGGCAGCGAAACCGCGAGGUUAAGCCAAUCCCACAAAUCUGUUCUCAGUUCGGAUCGCAGUCUGCAACUCGACUGCGUGAAGCUGGAAUCGCUAGUAAUCGCGGAUCAGCAUGCCGCGGUGGAAUACGUUCCCGGGGCCUUGUACACACCGCCCCGUCACACCACGAGAAGUUUGUAACACCC